GGAUCUAAAUAAAAAAUAGAUUCUUAAUUAAACUACGAUCAGAAUAGGUAAAAAAUUGCAUAUUAACUGACUGUUUCUAGAGCAAGUGGCAAAGGGUUUGGUGGUCGGUAUCCGAGAUUUAAGUUCGAAUCCCAAUUGAUUUACAUUUCUAGUUAAGUUUAUUUUCUAAAUGAAAUAAACGAAGCGGGUAGCGUGCUAUCUAUCUCUCUCAAAAAAAAAUUGCAUAUUAACCACAAGUGAAAGCUGAAUAAUUUGUUCUGAUAUAUCCAAGCAACAACAAGUGCUACACAGAU
rnacentral:lncRNA from 1 species